rnacentral:rRNA from 1 species
GACAGAGGUGCCGAGCGUUAGGCGGAAUCACUGGGCUUAAAGCGUGUGUAGGCGGACCGUUAAGUACCUUGUGAAAUCCCCCGGCUCAACCGGGGAACCGCUGGGUAUACUGGCGGUCUUGAGGCACCCAGGGGCUGUCGGAACAAGCGGUGGAGCGGUGAAAUGCGUAGAUAUCAGGAGGAACACCGGUGGCGAAGGCGGGUCUCUGGGCAACAACUGACGCUGAGGAGCGAAAGCGUGGGGAGCGAACAGG